CUGCCUUUAAAUCCUUCAUCUCCUUCUCCUCAAUCCCUCUACAACCGAUUGGACUCUAGGGUGUCGGCUGCUCAGUUCGGGUUCGAGCACUUGGUGGAUUUCACUUCGACGGGACUCCUCUCCUCCUUGAUUCUUCUUCGAAUUUCAGAUUAGCUAUGUCGACGCUUUGGACCGGCUGGAGCGCGAAUUCCGACGGUUACAAGAGUUGAAGACUGCUGGUAGCUCAACGUACACAGCCAUUUGGAUGGAAUCUCGUCUACAAGCAUGGCACGACACUCGGGCUUCGGCUGGACUUGAGAUUCAAACGCAACAAAGUCGGGUGGAUCAAAUGGAGGCCUUGGCUAUCUUGGGGAUGGCGAAGGAUGACUUGGAGCGUUCACGAGUUGUGAUAUCCGGAAAAUUGGAGCUCUCGAAACGGAAGUUAGCCAAGAUCCAACAAGAGGCUGCGAAAACAUUAUCCCUCACCGAGGAAUCCUUCAAGGUUGCAUUGCAGUGUGAGCUUGAGCGAACUUAUACAGAGGAAUUGACUAAACUUGAACAGCAAGCCUGUAGUCACAAACUUCAUGUAGAUUGAUUGUAACUCUUGUACCUGCAAACUCAAUUUUAUUAAUAGAAAAUAUGUCUUUUUCAUUCAUUA